rnacentral:rRNA from 1 species
AUUGAACGCUGGCGGCAGGCUUAACACAUGCAAGUCGAGCGGAGAGAGGUAGCUUGCUACCGAUCUUAGCGGCGGACGGGUGAGUAAUGCUUAGGAAUCUGCCUAUUAGUGGGGGACAACAUUUCGAAAGGAAUGCUAAUACCGCAUACGUCCUACGGGAGAAAGCAGGGGAUCUUCGGACCUUGCGCUAAUAGAUGAGCCUAAGUCGGAUUAGCUAGUUGGUGGGGUAAAGGCCUACCAAGGCGACGAUCUGUAGCGGGUCUGAGAGGAUGAUCCGCCACACUGGGACUGAGACACGGCCCAGCCUCCUACGGGAGGCAGCAGUGGGGAAUAUUGGACAAUGGGCGCAAGCCUGAUCCAGCCAUGCCGCGUGUGUGAAGAAGGCCUUAUGGUUGUAAAGCACUUUAAGCGAGGAGGAGGCUACUGAGACUAAUACUCUUGGAUAGUGGACGUUACUCGCAGAAUAAGCACCGGCUAACUCUGUGCCAGCCGCCGCCGUAAAAC